AGCCCUGCAGAGCCAACACAGCUAUGGGAAUGUGACCAGGAUGUCUGUUUCACUGCAUUGGGGUGGUGACGCCACACAUUCCAAGCAACUUGCUCCAGAAGUAACUCUAGGUCGGAUGAAUGGCCAAUGUCUCCUGCAAGAUCUGAACACAAUGGUCAAAGUGGAGCAUUCCAGUCACAGAGGCACAGAUGAAACAGGCUACUCCUUUACUGUACAGACAAUGCAUCAGUGUACCGAUGUGGAGCAGGGACAAUGACAUGGAGAGAGCCCGUCCCCUCCAUUCUCUGAACACACUGAGAGGCUUCCACAAGGUCAGGAGGUAAAGGAGG